AUCAGAGAGUUUGGAACAUGGCUCAGAUUGAACGCUGGCGGCAGGCCUAACACAUGCAAGUCGAGCGGUAGAGAGAAGCUUGCUUCUCUUGAGAGCGGCGGACGGGUGAGUAAUGCCUAGGAAUCUGCCUGGUAGUGGGGGAUAACGUUCGGAAACGGACGCUAAUACCGCAUACGUCCUACGGGAGAAAGCAGGGGACCUUCGGGCCUUGCGCUAUCAGAUGAGCCUAGGUCGGAUUAGCUAGUUGGUGAGGUAAUGGCUCACCAAGGCGACGAUCCGUAACUGGUCUGAGAGGAUGAUCAGUCACACUGGAACUGAGACACGGUCCAGACUCCUACGGGAGGCAGCAGUGGGGAAUAUUGGACAAUGGGCGAAAGCCUGAUCCAGCCAUGCCGCGUGUGUGAAGAAGGUCUUCGGAUUGUAAAGCACUUUAAGUUGGGAGGAAGGGUUGUAGAUUAAUACUCUGCAAUUUUGACGUUACCGACAGAAUAAGCCCCGGCUAACUCUGUGCCAGCAGCCGCGGUAAUACAGAGGGUGCAAGCGUUAAUCGGAAUUACUGGGCGUAAAGCGCGCGUAGGUGGUUUGUUAAGUUGGAUGUGAAAUCCCCGGGCUCAACCUGGGAACUGCAUUCAAAACUGACUGACUAGAGUAUGGUAGAGGGUGGUGGAAUUUCCUGUGUAGCGGUGAAAUGCGUAGAUAUAGGAAG
rnacentral:rRNA from 1 species